UACGUAGGGUGCGAGCGUUGUCCGGAAUUAUUGGGCGUAAAGGGCUCGUAGGCGGCCAACUAAGUCGGAUGUGAAAUCCCCAGGCUUAACCUGGGAACUGCAUCCGAUACUGGAUGGCUUGAAUUCGGGAGAGGGAUGCAGAAUUCCAGGUGUAGCGGUGAAAUGCGUAGAUAUCUGGAGGAAUACCGGUGGCGAAGGCGGCAUCCUGGACCGAGAUUGACGCUGAUGAGCGAAAGCUAGGGGAGCAAACGGG
rnacentral:rRNA from 1 species